AAAAAUCUGAAUCCUUAACAACACUGAAAUUGAAAACCCUUAAUAUUACAUGACAUAGAAUGCGAUUUCGUAAUGUAAAUCUACAAAUUUAAAAACAAUUGAAUCAUUCACAGCACUGAAAUUCAAUCACACUAAAAUUACACGACACAGAAAACGAUUUACAAAUGUAAAAUUCCGUCAUUUAUGAUGCUUCUUUUUAUUUACAUCAUAUGUGAUGUAAUUUUACAGAUAUUUUUCGUAGAAGCAAAAAUAUCUGAACCCUUAAUAGCACUGAAAUUCAAUGACCUCAAUAUUACACGACAUGGAACGAGUUUUUGUCAUGUAAAUAAAAAAUGUUGAAUACUAAGCAGCACUGAAAAUUAAAUCUACUAAAAUUACGCGAUAUGGAUAAUUAUAAUAGAACGAAAAUUUAUUUUUGAUGUAAUUGUAAUGCAUUUCAAUACAAAUUGGUAUACGAAAAGUUUAAUCAAAAAGCGAAUGGUGAUCGCAGUUGUUCAGCAAUACCGUGAAAUACAAGCACAAGUAAAAUAUUGCUGGGCAUAUGAUGUAGACGUCGAUGCCAUAUUGGUGGAGCAGCGCUGCGCUGCAUGCAAGUGACAGAUAACCGCAAAAAGGAGGAAGCAAAGCGCAAAAGUUUCGUUGCGUUUGAAUCGUUUUAAUUCCGACUGCCCGGAAUACAUUUACGGAACCUGAAACAUCUUUCCAGCAGCUAAAUAGUUGAUACUUCUGUUCAAGACUUGAUAAGAACAAGGCAAAAAUAAAUGUUUCAAAUGUUAGUUUCCGGAUCCAGCUAGUGUCCAUGGCCGGUGGUUGUGCUGGAGACAGAAUCCAAGAAUUGGACUGCUUCUGCUUUCAUCCAGGUUUCAGUACAGCUGGUCCAGGUAAUGCGAUACGGUCCCAAACGUGAACAAAACAUACGCCGCUAGUUUGAGAUUGACCAAAUAUUCUAAGUUCAAAGAUGAAAUAUCGUUCAGAUUUUCUUCACAUCAUUAAAUUCGUGAAACACACUAGCCAGGCUUGGGUGGCCAUGUACCGGAUUCCUAAAGUUUACACUUCAAUGGAAACAAGGAAUCUUCCAGUGAGAGAAAACCAGGAAAUAAAGGUGAGAAAUGGUUGUAAGAAGAACGUGGAUCGCUGCCCGGCUGCACUUUCCGAAGAAAAAUGCCAUUUCUUAAGUCGUUGGGUAAGUUAGGAUAAAAUGAAAGAUUUAAGGAAAACUAAACUUAAUUAUAUGAGGGGUAGGUUUAGGAUAUUAUUCAAUGUAAUCAGCGAUGUGCCAUUUUAUG